rnacentral:tRNA from 2 species
GCCUCUGUAGCUCAGUUGGUAGAGCGUAUGCCUGAAGAGCAUAGCGUCGCAAGUUCGAUUCUUGCCGGAGGCA